UACGGAGGAUCCAAGCGUUAUCCGGAUUUAUUGGGUUUAAAGGGUGCGUAGGCGGGAAAGGAAGUCAGUUGUGAAAUUUUAUGGCUCAACCAUAAACUUGCAGUUGAAACUCUUUUUCUUGAGUACACAUGAGGUGGGCGGAAUUUGUGGUGUAGCGGUGAAAUGCAUAGAUAUCACAAGGAACUCCAAUUGCGAAGGCAGCUCACUGGGGUGUAACUGACGCUAAUGCACGAAGGUGUGGGUAUCAAACAGG
rnacentral:misc_RNA from 1 species